GGAAGGAUUACAUGAAAAAUAACCUUACCAAGUGUAAAUAAUUACAAGAGAAUGCCAUUACAAUUAAAAUUUCAAAGACAAAAUAAAAAUUUGCGUGGAGGGGUAAAAUUGUAAAAUUCCCGCACGCGAGACGCGGAUCCCGGAUCCUACACUCGGAUCUUUUGCGUCUGUGAAUCUGACCCGAUGAGAUUCUAUAUUUCCUAUUGGGCUUAGAUAUUUCCUACAGGCCCAUCGUUAAUCCCUUUUACUUCAAAUUUCCGAAUCUGUAUAGAUAAUACGAAAUAAAAACAUUAGCAACACAAAUCAAACAAUACCAUAACUAUUUUUCCGGAUCAAUCAACUACUCUGUAUAUUGCUUUAACAAACAAAUCUCAUAAUUUACACUUCCUAAAAUAAAACGUAUUUAUUUCUAUUCCAUAUAAUAACAAAUCAAGCAUAUUCUUUACUUAUUCUAAAUCGGGAAUAAGUUAGCAAUUAAUUUUUUGAUUAAUUACACUCAAAUCUCGCAAAAAUCUUACCAUAUCACCGGAAACAGUUCAUUCCAAUGUAAAAAUAUAUAUUUAGACGGCAAAUUAAAUGCAAAACUUAUUAAUUCCUAUUACCCUAUAUUAAUAGGAAAGAUACAAUAUUGUAACCUAUUCGAUAAUUAUCGCCCAAAUCUCGCAAAGAUCUUUCCAUAUCAACACAAACUAUCAAUGCCAAUUUUAAAAAAUUUCUUUACAUGCAAAACUCAAUCAUUCAAAUUUCUCUAUAUUGAAAGAUAUAGAAUUCUAACUUAUUAUAUUUCCCUUAGUAGUUGGUAUUCAAACUCACACAAUCUCUACAAUAUCCAUAUUCAGUUCGAUAUUGAUAUACCAAACAAAUAAAUCUCCCUAAAUCAAGCAUAUAUCUUUAAGAUCCUAAUCCCAAAAUAUAUUAUACGGCCUAUAUUCUCUAAAACCUAAUAAAACUAAAUGCUCCAUACGAUUACUAUAAAUAUAGGGACCUGCAUUAGAAAGAACUCACCUUUCAAAGCUUUACCAUUACCACUUCACUAUUUCUCUAAUAAAAUGGCAGCUAUUCAAGCAUUCACCCCUCUUGCUGACAUUAAGCCCUUCAAAACACAUUGGAAAAUUCAAGUUAAGAUUGUGCAUUCGUGGACACAAUACACUCAAUUCACCGGGGAGACAGUUGAAAUGGUUCUUGCUGAUACAGCUGUAAGUAUAAGAACUAUCAUUUUGAAACAUAUUAAACAUUUAUCAAUCAUCAAUAUCACUGGAUGAUUAACAUGAGUUCUUUUUAUCUGUUGCCAGGGUACUUUGAUUCAUGCUACUGUUAAGAAGCCACAAGUGAGCAAACUGCAAAGGUUCAUAGUUUCUGGAGAAUGGCGUAUUAUCGAGCAUUUUACGCUAACCAAAUCAACAGGAAAGUAUCGAGCCACAAAACAUGGUUUCAAAAUGUCCAUGAUGGAAAAAACUGUGAUAAGUCGCACUCCUUCUGUUUCUGAUGACAUUUAUGUGGAUCUGGCAAACUUUCCAGAUAUUUUGAAUGAAGCAGGAUUGAGUGAAAACAUCUUAAUUGGUACUAUAUCUAUCUUACUUUCCAUUGUAUAUUUUCUUUUUCUAUUAUAAUAGGAACUUCUUCAUGAAAAUAUAAUAUAUUACUCUCUUAUUUUGCAGAUGUACUUGGACAGGUAGUUAGUUUCAAUGAAAUGAAAAUUCAUGAUGUUAAUAACAAGAUCACAAAGAGACUUGAGUGUGAACUCAGAGACACAAAGUAAGUUUUAUCAUGAAUCUACCUUUUUUAUUUAAUCUUACAUACAUCUAAACUUAAAACUUUCUCAAUAUUUUUGUUGUAUUGUAGUGAUGAAAGGCUGAAAUGCACUCUUUGGGGGAGAUUUGCUGAGGCAAUGUAUAAUGCAUGUCAAAAUGCAGGGACUGAGAGAGUGAUAUGCUUACUUCGGCUUGCAAAGAUCAACUCAUUUAAAGGUAUAGAAUGUUGUUACUGGGAAUAAUGGAUGAUUUUGAAAUCGAAAUGAAAUCAGAACAUAUGUGAAAAUACUAAUAUCAUGCUGUUUGUAGGUGAAAGAGCUGUUUUAAAUUCAUUUGAUAUGUCUCUAUUGGAAAUCAAUGCUACCUACCCUGCUGUUCUUGAUUUUGUGGCCAAGUAAGAUAUGUUUAAACAUCACAUUUCUUUUACUAAUAUAGAUAACUGUUAAUCCUUUUUAUAAUAUCUAAAGUUGAUUUCGUGUUCUUUUAUUUGUUAAAAAUAGUUUACCACCGGAUGUUAUUCCACUGACUAUCGAAGACUCGAAGGCAAAACAAGUGAAUGCAGAACAGAGAAAAAAGGAUUACUAUGAUCGUUUUCCAAGGAAAACCAUCUCUGCACUCUUUUGUUUUGCUGAGGUAUUUGUAUUGGAUAAUAUUAUUUUUUCUAGAAACUAUUAAAUUCUCUGUCUAUACUACUAAUUAUCUAUUUUUUUGUAAUAGACUGGAAAGUGCAACAUAAUUUGUACCAUAAUGAAUAUCGACACAGACUAUUCUUGGUAUUUCUUUAGUUGCCUCAAGUGUAGCAAAACUGCCUAUAAGAUUCCAAAGGUUGAAAAUGAGAUUGUCAAGAAAGGCAAGAAAGAAAUGUUUUGGUGUCCAACAUGUAAGGAAGACACUCCUAAGGUGAUACCAAGGUAAGACUUUGAGAUUUGCUAAUAUAUAUCUACAUUUGUCAGAUAAUAACUAGGUACAUAAUCUACUUUCCUGUUCCUUUGAUAUGUAGGUAUCUUUUAAACGUUGGAGUGAUGGAUAGCACUGGAGACACUAAAUGUCUUAUCUUUGAUAAAAGUGCACAAGAGAUAAUCGGUGUGUCUGCAGAGGAUUUGCUGGAAGGGAAGUGGGAUGAGGUAAACAAAUUUAUUGUUAAUAUGUAUAUAGACCAUAUUAUUCAAAUAUCUUAUAUACUUUUUUCAAUCUAUCAUAACAGAUUCAGGAUCCUACAAACGUGCCUCAGCCAAUCAGAGAUUUGGUUGGAAAGACUUUCCAGUUUCUGGUGACUGUUGGAAAGGAAAACAUCAAUGAAACUGAUGAUACCUACAAGGUUUCAACCGUUUGGCUGGGUAAUGAAUCUGACAAUCUAGAUACUAUUGAAGAUUCUGACCAGCAGACUGACCAACGUAAUGACCUCUCUAUUGAUCAGGUAAUGUUAGUAGGUGCAACCAAAAUCAAUCUAUCAAAAAGUUAUUCAAGUUUAUCACUAAAGGGCUGGAUCGUGUUUCAAUUAAAUAGUGAGUACCAUCAGUUAUACUCAAGUCAGGGAAUAAAUUAUGGAUACUCAUAACUAUAUAAUUUAAUGACUUUGUUAUAUGAAAGAUUAUCUAUUAUAUAUUGACUCUCCUGAUUUUCUUACUUACAAGAAGGACUUGCUCUGACCAAUAGUGGUGAAACCACUGACCCUUUAGAUCCUACAUCAUCCACUCCUUCAUCUAAGCGUAGUAUGGAUGCAGUUUCUGAGGACAUUGAAGGUCAGGGUUCUACUACUAAAAAGGCAUGUGUCUCUUCCCUUCUUGGUGACAUUGAGAAGGAAGAGAUUGAAGGUGGCAAGAAUUAAGUUGUGCUGGCUGGGAAUAAUGUAGGGAGCUUGGCUGUAGCAAUUAGUUUUCUAUUUUUUCUUUUGUUCAAGUUUCAAAACUUAUUUAGUUUUUUCCUUCAGCUAUGUGCUAUUUAAUUCUCAGUUAUUUUGAAUUCAAGCAAUAAACUCUAAGCUUCUCCUUAAACGAAACUCUUUGCAAAAUAUAAACUAACUUAUGCUUAAACUAAAGAUCACAAAACAGAAAGAGAAAAUAUACUAACCUGUGCUUUGUACUGAUGAAUUUUCAUAUAUAAGCCCCAUUACUGUAGCUAACACUGCAGAUAAAAGAAAACACAUAUUAGUAACAAACAUUGAGAGACUGCGAUGAAUCUAUACUAAUCUGACGAUAUCUAUACUAUAAAUGGCUAACUUAAUUAAUAUGUGAGAUAUAUAAGUACAUAUAUUUUAAAGGGCAUAUGUGCAAAUAUUUUAAAGAUCGUAAGCUAUUAAAAUCUAUCUCCUAUUCUAAAUCGUUAACUAAUUGGAAUAGUAUAGCAGUAUAGAUAAAUCAGUUUUAAAAGGGUUCAUUGUUGCAGUAUAACAACUGUUUUCACGACCAAUUUAAUAUUUAACCUAUUAAUAUACAAGAUUCUAUGCUAAAAAUAAGAAUCAAUCAAUUAGAUUUUAUUAUGAAUAUGGAAAAGAAAAUAUAUUCUGUAAUCUUUUCAGUUUAAUGCUAUCACACUAAAUCAGGCCGAGACGAUUUCUUUACAAUCAUUACAUAACCAUUUUACACCUUCAAUCCUAAUCUACAGCGACUCGCCUCAUUAGCAAAGAAACAACUAUAAGGUCAGUCUUUUAAUAUCUUUCAACAUAUAACAUGUUCAUUGACAAAUGACAUAAUUGGAAUUAUUUUUCUAACAAAUCUAUUUUGUUUUUCAGAAUGAAGAGAAGAAAAAAUGAAACAGUAAAAGAAAAUAACAAUGUAAUGCAGACACCUAACACAAAGCGUUCUAGGUCUCAGCUAUAUGAUGAAAACAUAAAUCCAAAUCUACAGAACCAACAAGAUAGGAGUGAUGUUCAAGUAAAAGGGAUUUUUAAUCGAUUGAGAUCUGGAAUAGGUAACAUACCAGCCCAGCAGUGUGAUUCUGAAGCCUUACAGACAGUAACUGGUCCUUCUUCUUCUGCAGCCAUACAAAAGGAAACACAAGGUAUGUAAACAUUUAUAUUCCAACAAUAUAGCAUCUACAUAUGAUACAACUAAUAAAUAAUCAUAAUGUAUAGGAUUUGCAUCUACAGUUACUUAUAAUACGAGUGUAAGAUCAGCCAAAAAAACAGCAAGGACACAGAGAAGACCUUUUCAAGAUGUGCAGAACAUUAUUAAUACAUCACAGCUUCACAGCGAGGUUCACCAAACUCCACUUAAUCCACAUAAGCCACCAGAAAAAAAGGGGAAAAAGUGGAGUCCACCAUCUGUUAAUAGCAAACAAGGUAUACAUGCCUCUCAAUAAUAUGAAACUAUUACAUAAAAAAUAGACCUGAUAGAUCAACACUGAUGGAGUAAUGUUUAUUUCAUGAAGCUGCUAAGGGUAUUAUACUUACCAAUUCAAGAAUCAAUCUGAGGUUCCCAAAGUCUUUGGCAAAGGAGAAGAAAACAUCUGACAAGAGUUAUGAUACAACAAUCGAAGAAGACUCUGAUGAGAUCCUGAAUUCAAAGGAAGAAACAUAUAUUAAUAUGAGUAAGUAAAAAUCAUUAUGAUAUAUUUUCUAAACUUAAUAAAGCAUCCACUAAUCAGGGGAAAAAACUAUGAUAGGUGAUUUGGAGGAAACACGUGAACAGGUUUACGAGUGUAGUAGUCCAGAUGAAAAUGAUUCAGAAAUAUCUGAAGAUUAUGAAACCAUAGACGAUAUCCCAAUCGAAGUCAAACAAAGAUAUGAGUUUUUAUCAAUGUUAGAUGAAAGUUUGACCAAAGCUUUUGGAGAAAUAAAAACUCCUAAUGUUUCUAGCAGAAAGAACAAAAACACAAGUACUACAUCAUUGGUUUAUUUCUAAUUCUUUUCUUACACAAACUUUACUUAUGCUAAACUUAUUCCCGUUAUUGUAGAGUAUCUAGAUCAUGGAGAUCCUGUCUACUCAUGUUCCUACUGCGGUGCUAUUAUGUGGUAUGGCGAACGCAUCAACAGACAUAAGAAAGUUCGUAAACCAAUUUUUACUCAAUGUUGUCUGCAAGGAUCUGUGAAACUGCCUUUCCUCCAUAAUCAACCAGAACUGUUAUUUGCUUUUCUAAGCAAUGAUGAUGACAUGAGUAGACACUUUAGAGAGAACAUCCGAGCAUAUAACAUGAUUUUUUCAUUUACUUCUCUUGGGGGUAAGUGUGAUAAUUCUGUUACAGCGGGAAGGGGUCCUAAUAUGUUUCAGAUACAAGGAGAGAAUUACCACCAGAUGGGAAGUUUGAAAC
rnacentral:lncRNA from 1 species